GGCCUGGCUCAGUUGGUAGAGCAUGGUGUUUGCAACACCAGGGUUGUGGGUUUGAUUCCCAUGGGGGGCCA
rnacentral:tRNA from 1 species